rnacentral:rRNA from 1 species
UACGUAGGGUGCAAGCGUUAAUCGGAAUUACUGGGCGUAAAGCGUGCGCAGGCGGCCGCGCAAGUCGAGUGUGAAAUCCCCGAGCUUAACUUGGGAAUUGCGCUCGAAACUACGUGGUUGGAGUGUGGCAGAGGAAGGUGGAAUUCCACGUGUAGCGGUGAAAUGCGUAGAGAUGUGGAGGAACACCGAUGGCGAAGGCAGCCUUCUGGGCCAACACUGACGCUCAUGCACGAAAGCGUGGGGAGCAAACAGG